CCAAUAGCGUAUAUUAAAGUUGUUGCAGUUAAAAAGCUCGUAGUUGAAUUUCGGGAUUGACGUGACGGUCAUGCCUUAAGGGGUAUGAACUGUUACUGUUGAUUUCUCACCUUCUGGAGAAACUUGAUGUCCUUUAUUGGGUGUCUUGCGGAUCCAGGACCUUUACCUUGAAAAAAUUAGAGUGUUUAAAGCAGGCAUUUUUGCUCGAAUACAUUAGCAUGGAAUAAUAGAAUGGGACGGCAUGGUUCUAUUUUGUUGGUUUCUAGGAUCACCGUAAUGAUUAAUAGGGAUAGUUGGGGGCAUUAGUAUUCAAUUGUCAGAGGUGAAAUUCUUGGAUUUAUUGAAGACUAACUACUGCGAAAGCAUUUGCCAAGGAUGUUUUCAUUAAUCAAGAACGAAAGUUAGGGGAUCGAAGACGAUCAGAUACCGUCGUAGUCUUAACCAUAAACUAUGCCGACUAGGAAUCAGACGAUGUUAAUUUUUUAAUGACUCGUUUGGCACCUUACG
rnacentral:misc_RNA from 1 species